GGAUCAUUGUCGAAAUCGAACGGAAGAACGACCCGCGAAUCGUCAUUGCGUAGUAGACAGAGCCCGUGAGCACCUAACGCUCAUGGGGCUCCCGUCGCGUCGGCGCGGGUGUACUCGAGACCCGCGUCGUGCCGGCGGACAAACAACGUCAGCACGGAUCGUGCCAAGGAGCUGCAUGGAGAGAAUCGUCGUCCCACGCCUUUGAUAGUCCUCGAUGCGGGACGGGGGACGUACGCAAUCUCUACUCAAGUCUAAACGACUCUCGGCAACGGAUAUCUCGGCUCUUGCAUCGAUGAAGAACGUAGCGAAAUGCGAUACUUGGUGUGAAUUGCAGAAUCCCGUGAACCAUCAAUUCUUUGAACGCAAGUUGCGCCCGAAGCCACACAGGCCGAGGGCACGCCUGCCUGGGUGUCGUGAAUCCCCUUGCCCCUGGGCACCCGCACGAGCAUUGGCGGGGAUAUAUGCUGGGGCGCAGAAUAUGGUCUCCCGUGGGAUCGGCGUGCACGGCAUGUCGAGGUGCGGUUGGCCGAAAAUCGAGCAUGGCGGUGACGGGCACCACGGCGUUCGGUGGAUCGAAUGAGAUUGGCUGCGCCGUGGGCUCGGCAUGCGGCGGGCUCCGGACUUUGAAUAUCCCCGAGUGCGAUCCCAGGUCAGGCGGGGCUACCCGCUGAGUUUAAGCAUAUCAAUAAGCGGAGGAAAAGAAACUAACGAGGAUUCCCUUAGUAGCGGC
rnacentral:rRNA from 1 species